AUAUUUCCUGUAACUAUUCUCCACAUCAGGUAAACGAAAGAAUCUGUUCUUAUCAGCGUAAUAUCUGUUAUGGCCUUCAUCACUGGACUAGAAGAUUAAACUCCCUUUUGGCUCAUGACAGGGAGCUAAGAGCAUGUUCUACCUCUGUCAGACGAUGCCUCCUCACUUUUGAACUUUGUUCAAGUA